rnacentral:misc_RNA from 1 species
GACGUAGGGGACUAGCGUUGUUCGGAAUUACUGGGCGUAAAGAGCGCGUAGGCGGUCUAUUAAGUUGGAAGUGAAAGCCCGAGGCUCAACCUCGGAACUGCUUUCAAAACUGGUAGGCUAGAGUUCGGUAGGGGGUGAUGGAAUUCCAAGUGUAGAGGUGAAAUUCUUAGAUAUUUGGAGGAACACCGGUGGCGAAAGCGAUCGCCUGGACCGAAACUGACGCUGAGGCGCGAAAGCGUGGGGAGCAAACAGG